UGCCCACGUUGGUGUGGUGACGUGGUGGGCCUACGGUGCGAACCUCUGGUUUGCCAUUGACAGGUCACCGGAUGGAUGUUGGGACUCACUCCAGCCAUUUGGGCGGCCCUGUCUGCGGCCGUCUGAGGAUCUGGACGUGGGAUUCUGGGAAGCCAGAGGAGCACCGGCCACCUGGGGCGCACUGGUUGCCCUCGGGGUGACUGGUGGGUCCCUGCCCACUCCGCUGUCCACCUGGGACGGAUGAGCUCACUCGUUUCUCCCUCUGUGUUUGUGUGACCCGCCCCCCAAAUUUAGUCCCAGGAGCACUGGCCAUCAGCGUUUCUUCCUACGCACGAAUUUCCCAUUUACAUUAUUUGUCCAUAUUUCUACUCGUCUCUUUGUUCUCAUCUCUUGAUUUGAACUGCAGAUACCCUGCGGCUUCGGGCCCGUUCCGGAUCCUAGUCGUAACUGAAGCGUGGCAGCACGGAGACACUCCCAGGCAAGGGUGUCUCUGCUGCAUUAUGUGUCAUGGAAACAGCAAAACAAUACAGAGCAGAUGAUCUGGAAAUAAUGUGAUUUUCCACCGACAGUGUAACUGUUUAAUGCACAGCGAUACACCUACCUGACGUGCAUCUGGGGAGCAGAACGAGCCACGUCCACCCCCAUGACCCAGAAACCCUCCUGUUUGGGAGAAAAACAAGUUUCACAGGGUCCCUGGAGGAAUGAGAGACAACGUUCCUAAUUUAAUAAAUAUGAACAAGAAAAAUGAAGGCAGAAGAAGUGGAUUGAUGGGGAUAAAGCAUGAAGGAAAGACACAGAAACGAAAGAGAAAAGCCCAGAGAGCUGGCAGAGCUGGAAGCUGGUGUUUGCCCCUCACCGGCCAGGCCCGUGGCCCCACGGCGACCUCACCGGUGCCCCCAGUGGGCAAAUGUGGACUAACCAGAAACGUGUUUACCAAAGGAGAUGUCGGUCCUCAGGCCGUAAGCUGAAUCACUGAAUUAACUAACUUUAUUUGUUAAUAAAAUAUGGGGAGGAAUGGAAACCCCCCCACAAAC